UGCAGCAGGCGCGAAAACUUUACAAUGCGGGAAACCGUGAUAAGGGGACACCGUGUGCCAGCAUCAUAUGCUGGCUGUCCAGGUGUGUAAAAUACACCUGUCAGUAAGGGCCGGGCAAGACCGGUGCCAGCCGCCGCGGUAACACCGGCGGCCCGAGUGGUGAUCGUGAUUAUUGGGUCUAAAGGGUCCGUAGCCGGUUUGGUCAGUCCUCCGGGAAAUCUGACGGCUCAACCGUUAGGCUUUCGGGGGAUACUGCCAGGCUUGGAACCGGGAGAGGUAAGAGGUACUACAGGGGUAGGAGUGAAAUCUUGUAAUCCCUGUGAGACCACCUGUGGCGAAGGCGUCUUACCAGAACGGGUUCGACGGUGAGGGACGAAAGCUGGGGGCACGAACCGGAUUAGAUACCCGGGUAGUCCCAGCCGUAAACGAUGCUCGCUAGGUGUCAGGCAUGGCGCGACCGUGUCUGGUGCCGCAGGGAAGCCGUGAAGCGAGCCACCUGGGAAGUACGGCCGCAAGGCUGAAACUUAAAGGAAUUGGCGGGGGAGCAC
rnacentral:rRNA from 1 species